GCAGCAGCCACGGGAAUACGGAGGGUGCAAGCGUUAAUCGGAAUUACUGGGCGUAAAGCGCACGCAGGCGGUUUGUUAAGUCAGAUGUGAAAUCCCCGAGCUUAACUUGGGAACUGCAUUUGAAACUGGCAAGCUAGAGUCUUGUAGAGGGGGGUAGAAUUCCAGGUGUAGCGGUGAAAUGCGUAGAGAUCUGGAGGAAUACCGGUGGCGAAGGCGGCCCCCUGGACAAAGACUGACGCUCAGGUGCGAAAGCGUGGGGAGCAAACAGGAUUAGAUACCCCAGUAGUCCCUGUCUCUUAUAC
rnacentral:rRNA from 1 species